rnacentral:lncRNA from 1 species
GUCUUGUCCAGUCUUUUGCAACUGCAAGCAGUCCUGCAAAGAACAUCCCCGUACAUGUCUUUGUGUACACAGACAAGUAUAACCACAGGAUGAAUGCUUAGAAGUGGUAUUAGUGUGACAAAGGUAUGCAUAUAAGUAUUUUCAGUUUUUCAAGAUAUUCUUAAAAUUGGCUAUAUUAAUUAAAUCUUUUCACAAUAAUGUAUGAAAAUAACUUAGUGCCCUUACUGUCAAUCAAUGUUACAUUCUUGCCUAUUGGCAAAAUAUGAGGUGUUAUUGCAAGAUACAGCAAAUAUAUAAAUAAAAAAUUAUUAUAGUAAAAGACACAUUGCUAUUAGUGCCCCUCAACAGAAAUUUCCUCACUUCAAGCACGCUUAUCUCAUCAUUUUUGGGACUUUCUGGAGCCGUUCUGAAAGUCCUCUUUUGUGAGGGUUUUUACGUAUGCUGUCACAGCUUCUCUCAUGUCCUGAAUUGACUGAAAAUUUUUAGCUUUUAUGAUCAUUUUGACUUUGGGGAAAAGUCAGAAGUCACCUGGUGCCAGAUCUGGUAAUAAGGUAGAUGAGGACACCCUUCAGUGUUUUCACUAGCCCACCUUCCCGCUGGAUGACACUCAGCAGCUGCAUUCUGUUUUAGAUUAUGCCUCCUAAAAGAGGCAUAUGAAAGAGGACUUCCAGACUGAUCCGGAAAGUGUCAAGAAUGAUGGAGUAAUUGUGUUCAAAGUGAAGGGGGUUAUUUUGAGGAGGAUUAGUGGCCUUUUACUUAAUAAUUUUUUAAAAAUUUAAAUAUGAACCAUAUUUUUUAUCAGUCUUUAUAUGGUAUCCCAUUGUAGUUUUGAUUUACAUUUUUAAAACCUUAUGGCUUUGGUUGAAUAAUUUCUCUAUGUUUAAAAGUUAUUUGAAUUUCUUUUCUUGCAAAUUAUUAAAGCCCUCUCCUAUUUUUUAUUGGGUUGUUAGUCUUUUUCUUAGUGGUUUGAUUUGUUAAUAUUAAGGGAAUUAUUUCUUUGUCAUUUAUGUUAGGAAUUUUGCUUCAGUUUGUUGUAGUAUUUUGACUCUUUUUAUUUUCUGUAAAGUUUUAAAACUAAUUUUAUUCUGUCAAAUCUAGCAGUUGUAUCAGUGAGUAAUAUGUUCAACUAUAAUAGGAAAAAAAACCCAACUAAUGGUAUCUUGAGUAGAUGAGAGAAUAUUUGUUUGAAACAAGGGUAGAAUAAUUUGUUCUUUAACAGAAAACUGCAUUGUUCAGAGUACACCUUUCUGGGUUAUCUGAUUCCGAUUCUAUGAAAGUUAUUUUAUAAUUCUGCUUUAGAUAAGUGAUGGCAAAGCAAAUAACUCCACAGUCAUGCUAAUGAAUUAUGUCCAAUAGAGGGACAGCUCUCCCCCACUACCACUAUCCCCCAUAGUGUUCUGUUUGUACAUUUUAUGUGUCUACUCUUUGGACUAAAACACCUUGGUAGUGUCUUCACUGAUGCAUUCAAUAAAAUCUUUAAUACAUGUACAUUUUUACAUUGUAUGAGAGCCACACUUUUAUUUUCUAAAUUGUCUUUGAGUGAAUAUGAAACUUGGAGGUAAGGAAGUCAGGGGCUCCGUGAUGCCAUCAGGGAAUUGGACUUUCUCCAUUUUUCCACUUUGCUAUCCUUAGCAUUUACUCUUCAUCACCCUGUUAGUGCCACAUGGAUCCUAGAUAUCUGCUGCCUCUGCAGCCCUCGUAUGGGCAUUUCAGAAAGGAAGGGUACAGAAUAAAGAGGUUGGGUCUGUAUCAGAGAAGAAAAGCUUUCUCAGAAAUCAGUUUCUUUAUACAUUCCAUUAGUUAGAACUGUAUCAAGUGGCCACCUCUGAAUGUAAGGGAAUUUAGAAAGAAAAAUAGGAUUUUCUGAGCACAUGGUUCAUGUUCUCCCACAAUCAACAUUGGGGCUUAUUAACUGAGAAGAAGAGGAAAAGAGAUACCAGGGAGGUGACUAACAGUGUCCACCAAAUAGGCCUUUUUCUUUUUUUUAAAGGUUUCAUGAUUUAGGGGGUAAUCUACUUUGUCCUUAAUCUAAGAUUAUAAAUCUUUUUUUUUCCUCAUGUGUUUUUAAACUUUUGUAGCUUCAUUAAAAAAACAAAUAAACUAAAUCUUUGUUUCUUUGGGAGUUUGGUAUAUGUGGAAAAAUAAGGAGAGAUUCACUUGUGUUUUUAUUUUUUGUCCAGAUGGCUAGACAGUUUUCCAAGCACUGUUUAUUGAAUGUCCCAAUGUUUCCUCACUGGUUAAAAAUGUCAUUUUUUUUUUUUUUUGUGGUACUAGAGAUUGAAUCCAAGGCCUUUGGAUUGGUCCUUAUUUUGAGAUAAAGUCACUAAAUUGCCAGUCCCCAAAAGCACAGGGAUUAUAGAUGUGCACUACUACUCUGAGUUUAAAAUGUCAUCUUUAAACUGGGUAUGGUGGUGGAUGACUGUAAUCCCAGCACUCAGGAGGCUGAGGCAGGAAGAUCAUUGUGAGUUCCAGGCUGGCCUGAACUACAUAGUGAGACCCUGUCUCAAAAAACCAAAACCAAAAGGAAAGCCAUCUUUGUCUUGCAUAUAGAGCACCAUAUUUGUACUCACUUGCUAUAUUCUGUGCUAGUUCUAAGAAUUUAAUUUACUCCAACUUGAUAAUACUCCAAGAGUCUCUAGCAGUGCUGGACUUACCUCCUUCCUAUGUCUCUGAUUCU